rnacentral:tRNA from 1 species
GCGCUUAUCGUUCAAUGGAUAGGACAAGACUCUUCUAAAGUCUAUAUGUGGGUUCAAUUCCUACUAGGCGCACCA